ensembl:snoRNA
CCCCAGACAGGCAGCACUGAAGUUCAAAAAACUUUAAUUUUUUGAUAUUAUCCUGGAAGAGUAAUUGCUGACCUUAUUCACUGGCAGUGGGCCUUAUGGCACAGUGAAUCACCAGGUUAGAGACACGU